CGUGCAGAUGAGCCGCCUGGUCGCGCAGCAGGCGAGCUUUCUGAGCUCGCUCGACGGGUUCUAUUUCCUGAUCGGCGUGGCC
rnacentral:tRNA from 1 species